GCCGCAGUCCCUCAACUGGUGGAGGUGCUGUUUGGAACACAGUUGGUCGGGGGAAAACCGGCUUGCAGGUUCGAGUCCUGUCUGCGGCGCUA
rnacentral:tRNA from 1 species